rnacentral:rRNA from 1 species
CACGAACCCGACGAACGUUAUUCGGAAUUACUGGGCUUAAAGGGUGCGUAGGCGGUGCGGUAAGUGCGGUGUGAAAGCCCACGGCUCAACCGUGGAAUUGCGCUGCAUACUGCCGUGCUAGAGGGAGACAGGGGUAAGCGGAACUGAUGGUGGAGCGGUGAAAUGCGUUGAUAUCAUCAGGAACACCGGUGGCGAAAGCGGCUUACUGGGUCUUCACUGACGCUGAGGCACGAAAGCUAGGGUAGCGAACGGG